AGACAGACAGAUGGAAGAGAAAGCAUGCAGCGGAGAGGAGGAGAAACAAAGCGUGUUGACUGAGGAAGUGUGCAUGCCAUGCGGGCCAUGUGCUCGUCUACGUCCCAGCUCGCCGACUCUCGCCGCUCUGAGACUCACUGCAGCUUCUCCUGCUCAAGUCUCCCACUUUUCACUCUAAGGUAGGACCGUCUUUACUUGUUCCUGUGUGUUUCAAAGAGUUUGUUUCGCCUCUUUUCUCGCCUUUUUCCACCUUUUUUUUUUUUUUCACCCCAUGCUGUGCUGCUUUUUUUUUUUGUUGGGUUUGAUGAUGCCAGAGUGAGAAAAAGUUUGAGCUUUGUUUUAAAUGCUGCAUGAUUUGAUUUUGCAAAAGCACAAAAUGUUGAAUUUCACAUGUUGAAUUCAUGCAAAAAAAAAAAAAAAAACUGUGGUGCAAUUUAGUCAAUGUUGGCAGGUCUGGCUGUUUGUUGCCAUGUGUGUGUUGGUGUGUGUGUGUGUGUGUGUGAGUGAGUGUUUGUGUGGUGGUCUGGUAUACUGGUAGAAUAUUGGCAGGACUGAGGAAUGUGUGAGAUCUCUUUGUUCCCUCUCUCUCUUUCCCUCUCUCUCUCUCAUUUUCUUCUUUUUUCUCUCUGGGGUUGCACACACACACACCACACACACACACACACACACACACACACACACACUCUCUUACACACACAUACACACACAUGCAGUCAAACCAACUCUUGCAGAAAACCAGUUGAAACUUCCCACCGGCAGGAGAGAAAUGUCUGGAAUGUGAUUAUCACGUAUUUGUGUUUAUUUUAUCACUGCGGGUCGCUCGCAAAGCAAAGAGGAAACCAGAUCAGGCGCGUGCACGUCACUUAGCGUGCAAUAAUGUGUGUGUAUGUGUGUGUUCAUGUGUGUGCGUGGUGCUGGUGGGUGGGUGGGUGGGUUGGGAGGGGACAGGGUAGGAGGGUAAAGAGUGAGAGCUAUUUGGCAGUGCACGUGAGUGUGUGGGUGGUUGUGUGGGUGUCAGGGUGAGUGGGUGCAGAGCUCUUUGAGUGAGAGCACAUGUGACUCUGAGUGUGUGUGGGUGUUGAAUGUGUGUCUGUGUGCGUGCACAGAAAGGUGAAAAGUAUGUGUGUGCAAAGGUAAGGUGAUUGUGUGUUUCCGAGUCUACCUUUGCAUCAAACGGAGGCAGAGGAAAGACAAAAAAAAAACUACUCCUCUUUCCAAAACCUUUUGCUGUCCCUCUUUCUUUCUUUCUCUUACAUGCACACACACACACAUGUACACACACAUGCACACACGCAAGGUUCAGGCGCCUGUCAAACCCAGUGCAUUCCUGAGAGCUCGAACACACGGAGUCUGAAUGGUGGGAUGAAUGCGGGGAAAUUCAGCUGAAACGUGAGGACAAAAGCCAGGGGGACAUUUAAGAGGGUUUAACUCGGCAGAACCCUGGGAAUCAGGGAGGAAACACACACACACUAAAACACACACGGAAACACACAUGCACGCUUGCAUUAGCGCAUGCCUGCACGUGCACUGAAAUGAACUGUGUAUACAUCUCGACACACACACACAUAUGUACAGCUGCGGCUCCAACAGGCUGUUAGAGCCGGGAACGGAGGGGAAUUCCCAGGGAGGAGACAGUGAAAACACACACUGCACCUCUGAAUGUACACACACACACACACAUACACAUGCACACACACACACACACAAAGGCCCAAGAAGCCAACACACUGCGCUGCAGGUAUCUCUGCAGUCCAUUAGUAAACCAUCGAGUUUCACGGCGAGCUGAAGAAUAAAAUCCUCAGAAAUGUGCAAAAAAAAAGUCAUGAAUUCUCUGAGACGUUUAAAGCUUUACAUGUCAACUUAAAAGCUUUUUAAAUCACAAAUACACACAUUUUUAAAACAACCUAAAACACUCUUUUAUCCACGUUAAAAAGAUUGCACAAAUCCCCUUUAAUGUGGAGCUUUACGAUGUUUUCAGUCAUCAUAUCAAAAAUCUUCCUUGCUGGUCUUUCAAUAAUGCACCACGUCAGGUUUUUAUUCAUUUAAUAUACCAUUCCUUAGAGUGAUGUCUCCUUUUUCUGUGUGCGGUUAUGAUUCAGCCGAGGUUUUAAAAGAAAAAAAAGCGGCAGGUGUUAAAAAGGUGUUCUGAUAAUGCCAAAUUUUGACAUUUCUCCAAAUCUUAAAAGCCUGAACCCGCCUGAGAGGAGCUCUUACGCCGCCGCACUGAAACUGACUGGUUUCCAAAAUGAAUUUGCACUUUAAGAACCAAAUUGAUGCAGAUUACCUGAGAGAGAUUUUCUACUUUUCCCUGUUGAAGAGAAAUUCAGUCCCUGUCCAGCUUUAAUAAACCACCUGGAAUUCCCUGAAGGACCUUUAAAGACUCCAGGAACUGCUUUGGGAACCUUUUUAAGUGCACACAGCAAAGAGGGGGGGGAAGUGCAUCUCAUUGUGUGCAGGAUUUUUCUUUUACAGUUGAAAAGCGUCAUUUUUGUUGCUCUAAUUUCGUAGAUUUGAUUGCUAUAAUCUUCUCGAUUUUCUGAAAAUAAAGGGACUUACUUGUGAAUUACUUAUUUAAAAAAACACCUUUUGGAUUUUGUUUUUCUCAUCUGCAUCUUUGCAGAAACAAAGGAAGUCUGAUUUUUUUCAAUGACAUGAAGGUGUAACAGCUGUUUCGCAAAUGCACCUGGACAGCUUGCGAAAGACCGCCUAGAAAUUUCUUAAGGACCCUAAAAGGUUCCAGGAACCUGCUUGGAGAUCCUUUUUUUAAUUGCACCGCCUGCAAGACAGAAACUGCGAAGAAAAAAAUCCAUUUAGAGCCGAGAAGAAGGAGUUUUCUUUCUCAAAAUUUACAGCUGAAGUUUGUGAAAUUGUUUUCAUUUUUGAGAGAGAAUAAAAAUUAAGUCGCCUCAUAGAUCACUCUCUGGAUUGGACAGUUUUAAGAUCGAUACAUCAUUUGUGGUUCACCAGGAAAGAAAGCAAGAUCUUUUUGUCAGUAAUUAGAAACCGAAUGAUGGAAUUCUGCACCUGCUCAGUUUGAUAAAGUCUCCAUGGAUAUUUCUGAAGGACUCUAAAAGGUUCCAGGAACCUGACUCGAGAUCGGUCGUGAUUGCACGACACCAGAAACCGAAAAUGUGCAUCGAAUUGUGUGAAGAUUUUGCAGCAAAGUUGCAUCUUUAAUUAAAGAAAUCAUCGACAUUUAUGGAAAAAUGACAAAAGAAUCAAACUGUUUGAUUUUUGCUGUUUUGUCACUGACGAUAAUUCCUAUUUGCGACUAGAAAGACAAGGAAAUCUUUCUGUUUUCAAUAAAAGCCACUUCAGUUGGUUCACCAAUAAUGAAAUUCAGCACCUGCUCAACCCUCAAGGACCCUAAAAGGUUCCUGGAACCUUUCUUUGGAUGCCUUUUCAUUGCACAGCAUGAAAAACCGAGAUUGAGCAUCAGAUUGUGUGAGGAGGUGAAGUCAGAAGCGUUAAUGAAGGGUUAGAAAAUAUGAGAUUGGUUGAGUAAAUGUUGCACCGUCAGUUUUCUAAAUCGUCCAGACCUAGAGGAGAAUUUAAAAGGAUUCGAUUUUGCUGUUUUUAAAGGAUUUGUUAUUAAAUCUGCGUCUUUAUCUCUGACUUUAAAGUGAAAGUUUGUGUCUCAGGUUUAGAUUCCAUCAGGUGUUUGUCUGAAAAUCUGGAUGUAAGUGGACAUUAGAGGUCAACCUUCCUCUCUGCCUCCUGCAUGCUCUAAGUGGGGGGUCAGGGGAUAUUUGUUCUGACCUGAAAUCAACUUCAGAACGAUAGAGCCGCAGAAUCAGAUGCCCCUCUGCUGAGAAACAAGAAGGGAAACACCUGGGAUUAUCCCCAAUCUGUGCAGCUUUUGCAUGUUUCAGAUUGAGCUGAUCUGCUGUCUGUGUGUGUCUGUGUGUGUGUGUGUGUGUGUGUGUGAUGGAAAAAGUGAUGAGUAAUACUCGGGGAUCUUGACGCUCAGUUCAUGUUCAGUUUGGCGCAUAAUUGAUUCAGCUUGAUCUGGUUUAUGGAGCUGAAAAUGAGACAAAAAGCAUGUGAGCGAUUUCCUGAUUUUACGCUCCAGUCACGAGAGUCGAUGAUGAUGAUUGGAGAGUCGAAUUAAAGGUCAGGUUGUGAUUUUCAAGAUGGUUCAGGUGAAUUUGAUGCAGUGAAAAGGUCACGAAUCAUGUGAGGUAAUUAAGGGUGGAGAAAAAAUGUGAUAAAACGCAGCUUUCAUGAGGAGAACCUGACGUUAUUUCGCCGAUAACCUGCGUCUGAAAGGGUUAAAUGAAUCUGGUCAUGAGAUUUACAGAAAGACAUUUGAUUGAAGAUAUUUCUGGGAAGUUUAGGUUGAAGAAAAAGUACCCAUCCCAAAUACCAGAAAGUGAGGUCAUAAGUGAGGCGAUAAGAGAAAGAGUGGGCACAGUAAUUUAUUCAGGGAAUUUCACAAUAUGAAGCAGCGAGCGAGCGGCUGAUAUUGUCAGCGAGCUGCAGAGAGCUCAUAAAGCUGCUCAGACCUGUGCCGCCGCCGCCGCCGCCCAGCCCGAGAAUCAAACAAGAAGAAGCCGAGAAAACAGAAGUUAAUUUCCCAGACUGCUGCAGAGAGUCACUCUGAGAAAAACUGAGAGUGAUGAGGUCUGCACGAGGAAGAGGAGGAGGAGGAGCAGGUGAGCAAGAACAAGAACCUCGAAUUUAUACUAAUGUAGAUGCAUGAGUUUGAGUUUCAGCAGGUACAAUCCCUCUGCAGGUGUAUUUCCCCACAGGGAGAUGAGAUAGAGAGGCAUCAGUCCAGAUAUGAUGAGAGAGCGUUUCACAUUCACUGUUCACUCACAACCGACUCAAAAUACAAGAAUAAAGAGAGAGUCUGAAGAAUUUAAGUUUCCACGCUGCUUCAGUUUGAUGUUUUCUUCAUCAGAUUGGUAAAAAUAGCUUUUCUUACAUUCAUGUUUUUGUUAAAAAAUAAAGCAAUAAGGGAGAAAAGGAUGUUUCUUUUUAAACGGUUUCAUAAAAAUGCACAAUUCUGGCAUUUCUGCAGCUUUUAAAAGCCUCAAAUCAUCUGCGAGAAGCUUUUUAAACCAGAGAGAGGUUCAGAAACGAGCAUUUAAAACACCAAAUGGAUUCAGGUGAUUUCAGAUCUGCAUGAGAAGGAAGGAAGGAAGGAAAUCUCUCUGUUCACUCACCUGUUGAGCCUCAAGUGAAUUUCAGCUUGAGAAGGACCUGCUUACAGAAAUGUGUUUGUAUCCUGUGAAAAAAAUGAAUAAAGAAAUGAUUAUUAAUAACCAUGAAGAGUGAAAGUUGUUCUGUAUAUGAAGCUGCUUCAGUUAUUAAAAUCAGAGGAUUAGAAGGUGGAAUAACGGAGAGGAAAAAUGAACAUUCGCCUGCCAUAAAAUGAUGUUUCUGAGGGGUGAAUUAUUCCCUUUAGCCUCUUCAAAUGUGACAGAAAAGAAUAAAGUCUUUAAUUAUCAAGAGCAAAAAUUAGAGGUAUAAAUGUAAAAGAAAAAUGCUGUAGUUAUCCAGCAAAUCCUGCAGCUCUAAAUCUUAAAAUCAUCAAAUUUUGAUCAAACACAGAAGAUUUGUUUCAGUCUAAAACUCUCAGUUUUUGCUUUUUCUGCAGGAUUUUUUAACUCUUAUCUAAAAGUUUUGUCUCUUUAAUUUGCAUGAAUGAAAUGUGCAUAAUUGGAGUGGACUCUGCUUCACUGAAUUAACGUGUUUCUGCUGUAAAAGCACAAAUUUAGACAGGAGUUUCGUUUUUUUUCUCCAUAAUAAUUAAAUUCGGGACUUUCUCUUUAAGUCGUGCUCUCUGCUUCAUCAUUUCCCUCUUUUAUUCCCCUCUGUCAUUCUUCACCUCUCUCGGAGUUGUCACAGUCUUUACUGCACUCAGACUCUCCGCGGGCGCACCGGGCGCACCGGGGACGGUCCCCGCAGCGUGGGGGGGCGACACGAGGAAGUAGAGAGGGAGGGGAGGGGGGGUUCUUUCUUGCGGGUAGACUGAGGCUGACUCUGGGGACGGAGCUGCGGCCGACUGCCGCAGGUUUUGGGGGAACCAGCUUCUCACUCUGAGGUCGCCGGGGCAUUUCCGAGCGAUCCGGGGUAAAACCCGGCUGACACACAGAGACAAAACAGAGAGAGAGAGAGAAAGAGAGAGAGAGUGAAAGAGAGAGAGAGAGCGAGAGAGAUCAGGGCACAAACAGCCUCAGAAACAUCGAUCCUCCUCCUCCUCUCUUCUGCAGAUAUCUGCGGCUGUCUGAGCUCGUUUCACGGACACUUUUACGCGCAGCUCUCGGUGAUGUUUGAUUUGGUCUUUUGUGUUUCUGUGCGCAGAGGACAAAACCAGGAGAGCUGACUGAGCCUGCACACGGGGGAAGGUGUCUGGAAAAAGGGAGCUGAUUUUCUCCUGCAACUUCUAAAUCCAAUGGCAGCGACACCGAAGAACACAGGUAACACAUUUAUAUUCUUAUCCGUGAUUUUAACACAGAUUUGAACAUUUUUAAGAGACACUUUUACGCCUUAAAAUCAUCCAAAAUUUCUGCUCCAAAUCAGAGAACUGUUGAUGCAUGUUUCUAUAUCAUAUUCCUAAAUUUGACUUUAUCACUGUCGGUGUGUUUGAGUUGUGUUGGCGUUGUUUGUGCGUUCCUGCAGCAGUGUGUGUGUGUGUGUGUGUGUGUGUGUGGUGAGACUGUUGAACAUGGCAUUGCAACAGUGUGUGGUCUCCUCCAGCUCUGGCAAGACUAUUGUGCACUCUUCACGUGCGCAUUUGUUCGUGCGCGUGCUUGCUUGUUGGUGUGUGUGAGAGAGAGAAAAGAGAGAGAGAGAGAGAGAAAAGAGAGGGAGGGAGGGGGGGAGAGGAGGAAUGUGAGUCGGGCUGGAGGAAAUUCUUGUGUUUUGGAAUGCGUUUACCCCGGGGGGAGACCCCGUGACUCCGGGAGAGAGAGAGAGAGAGAGAGAGAGAGAGAGAGAGAGAGAGAGAGAGAGAGAGAGAGAGAGACAGGGGUGUGAUUGCAUGGCUUUCUAAGAAAUAAUUGAAUCAUUGGUGUUAUGCUGUUUCAUGCAAGUCUCAUGCAAAUGCAGUGACAGUGAAUAUUUCAUGAUGAACAUUUUUGCAUAUUUUUAUGAUCAUUUCUCUCUCUCUGAGGAAGAGGACUAUAAUUAAAACCAUGCACGCUCACUUUCACACACACACACACACACACACACACACAGCGGCUCUGCAUCCAACAGGGGGAGCUUGUGACACAUGGAGCUGGAAAAUCAGUUAUUAAUGUGACACUAAUAUCAGCCUUCAAUUUCACAUGCGUUAACAAAGAGACAGUCAUUUCUUUUAGCAAAACACUCCGUGAAAAGUGGAUGAAAGGGCAGCUCAGACUUGCUUCCCCCUCGGUUCUUGGCAGAUUCUGCGUCUUUUAAAAUGGGACAUAGAUUUUAAAAAAUGUCAAAAAGUGCGUCUUAAAAAUAUGAAACAAAUGCACAUUUCAGAGGCAGACAUAGUCUAUGAUAAGAGCUGGAUUUAGCAGCUUUCUUUCUGCAGAACAUGCUGGACGUCUCCUACCUUGCAUUAAAGAAUACAUGCACGGUAGUAUUUUGGGAAAUUCAUCUAAAAUAUGUUAAAAUUUAUCUAUUUUAAAUCUCUUUUAGGCGAAGAUGUUUUGCACAUUUCAGAGGCAGACAUAGUCUAUGAUAAGAGCUGGAUUUAGCAGAAUGGUGAUUUCUUUCUGCAGAAUAUGCUGGACGUCUCUUACCUUGCGUUAAAGAAUACAUGCACAUGUUAGUAUUUGGAGAAAUUCAUGUAAAAAAUGUUAAAAUAUAUCUAUUUUUAAUCUCUUUUAGGUGUUAAAGGUGUUUUGCACAUUUCCAAAAUAUCACUCAAGCAAUAUUACCGCAAGGCGUCGACAAAAAGAGCAUUUUAAGUUCAUAUUAUUAACAAACAAACAAGAUUAAAUCAAGUUUCUGCCAACUUCCUCCAACAGGCAGAAACCCCGAGCAGAACCAGACUGAAAUCUCCCCCCCAAACUCGUACGAACUCGCUGGAUUCGGAUCAUUUAGCACGUAAAGAAGGAGACAUUUCUAAAAGCAUUAGAGGAAACUUCUCCCUGAAGUCUAAAUGAUGAAUUUUUGGAGAUGCUGUGAUGCUCAGCAGGAACUCGCCGCCUCGCUCUGAUGUGUCGCACAGUCAGAACAGAAAGCAUCCAUCACUCUGAAUGUGCUCUGCUAAAAUCAAGUGUUAUAUUGUGAAGUAUUCAGACAGUCACAUGGCUGUAAACACAUGCACACACACACACACACACACACACACACACACACACACACACACACACACACACACGCGCGACUGUUGCAGAUGAUGUAUUCGUUUUAAAAAGCCGACAGUGUUUAUCAUUCCCUGCUCUUAAAACUUGCACAGAAGUUGUUUUUUUUUUGGAUGUAAGCGUUCACCGGACAGACUGGGGUUAGAGUCCCGGUUGGUAUUGGACAGAGAAGAGUGUUUCUGGAACAGCGCUGCAGACUAAAAGCUCGCCCACACACAAAUGUGAGAUAUUCUAAUGAGCAAUCUGGACCAUCUGAAUAUUAUAUUCCUCUUCGCAGUACAGACGUGUUACUUUGUGCAACUCUUAUCAUUUCUGGUUUAUAAAAAAAAAAAAAAAAGUCUGUGUUUUAGUUUGAGAAAGGUGUGAGUGAUGAGGAGACGAUAUGAGUGACGUGAUCCUCUGCCACCUGUCUUUCACAGCCUCUUCAUCAUCAUCGGUUGAAAAGGAAGCAACAACCAGAGAGCUCCUGUCCUGUCCUGCUGGUAAGAAUAUCACACAUUAUCUCUGAUUUUAAGUGUUGCUGAAAAAGUGUGAAUUCAUGUAUCGAGUGGAAAAGUUAACCCUGGCAGCAGAAACUCGGCUCUUUUCUUCCACUCAGAGGGUUUUUCGUUAAUUUGAGAGAUUAGUUGGUGAGAGUUUGUGCAGGGGGAGAGAAUUUGACAAACUUUUCCUCCGUUCCUCGGUGUCACUACAGCAGAUCAAACCCUCCCUGUAGCUGUGAUUUAAAAAUAACCGAGCUCAGUACAGUAGCCAUGUGCACAUGAAACAUUUGACUUAAUGUAAACCCAAAAAAUAACAAUCAGGCUGCGUGAUUCACACACACAUCGAGCGUGUUCAGCCCACACACUCCCACGUGUUUCCCCUUCCUCUGCUGCCUCAGAUGUGAGGCACAUGACAUCAUUAAAGAGGUGCUCUAAAAUCAGUGUGGGUACUGCGUGUGCGUAGGCAGAGAGUGUGCGUGUGUGUGUGUGUGUUGUUUCUGUGUGGGUGCAGGAAUGAAAGCCAAAGCUCCAGAGCCGUGGGCCCGGUGCUGGCUGCCUGUGUGUGCCCAGCCGGAGGCUCUGGUCCUGGGCUGCGCUGCCUCCCACGCUGGGGUUCGGUCGGGGCUCUGAGUGGGAGGAGGAGUGGGAGGAGGAGUGGGCCGGGGCUGUGAGUCAGCCUGCUGCAAAGCCCCCAGACGGGAGACCGCUGAGGGAAGAAACACACCACCACACAAGAGUCUCCUCUCCCUGCCGGCCUUCGCAGAAACGUUAAAGUUUCUAAUGAGGAGGAUCAGACGGGGGGGACGGAAACACUCUGCAUCAGCUCAUCUCUGAAUGAGUUUUCUGCAGACACGUUUGUAAACACAAAAUAGACUUAAGGAGUUUUUUACUUCUUAGUUUGUUUUGUUUUGAGAUGAUCCAGGUUUAGUUUCUAUAAAUGUCAGAGCUGUUGCUAUAAGACAGUCAUUUUGCGUUCGGCAGCUCUGUGAUUCCUCAUGAUUACUCUUGCAUGUUUGACAUCCAAAUGUGCAACUACAGCAAAAACUGCUUUCUCCAUCUGUGCCUGUGUGCCCCUUAAAUGAAGGAGCUGUACAUCAGUUUACUCACGAAAUGGCAUAGAUAUAUUCUACAUUUGUGGAUGCACAUACAUGAACUUUGGGGAAUGACCGAAAGAACGAGAUCGUGGAUACAAGUGGCCGAAAUGGGUUUCCUCCUUGG
rnacentral:lncRNA from 1 species